rnacentral:tRNA from 3 species
GGGCGGUUGGCGCAGCGGGAGCGCGCCUCGUUGACAACGAGGAGGUCAGUGGUUCAAAUCCACUACCGCCCACCA